CAGCGCGAGCGCAAUGUAGCAGCCUUUAUAUAAACACAAAAUAAAGCACGCCAAUUGCGUACACGUCCCAUUACACACACACACAACCUGCCUGACAAAUAAAUACACAAAUAUUUCAGCGUUUCUGUCAGCAUUAUUCCUAAGUUCGCCUGUUUAGACGUUUUACAUUGUUCACUCGGCCCUGGCGACGCGCACGGUUACAGCAAACGCUGAUUGGCGGAAGUGUCUGACGUGUGCGGAUUCCCGUACUCUGAUUGGCUCAACCGUCUGUCUGUCAACUAGUCAUCUCAAAGCGGCCUCCUUUCGGCCUAGUCCGCGGUGCAUGGGGCUGCCGUAAUGAUGACUCGGGAAGACAAACACCAACUUCACCGAAAAGUCGCGUGCUCACUGACACAGCUCGCGCGUUUCUGUAGGAAGCGGACAUUACUGGCUCUUAAAGCACUCACUACAACCGCUUUUUGUUCAGAAAGACUCCUGAGUGCCUGCUAGCAUCGGAACACAUGUACUGAAGACAAGUUUGAUCUAAUCACAACAGCAGCAGCAGCAUCAUCAUCACACUCACAAUUCUAAACAUCAUCUCGCGUCACACACACACUUACUUAUAUAACCGACCUAUAAUGAAAACGAAACACUUACCUUUCUUUGACGGAAUUUUUUAUUCCAAGUGCACUGAGAACAAUAGAAAAAGAGAAGAGCUCCUAGAGCAGCUUGAAGUACAGAAGAGUACUUCUGGAAAUGCUCAGGAAGCUCUCUCAGCUAAGGUGGAGCGCCUCCCCAAGUUCCAGGCUCCCGUCCCCAGAAGAGUACAUUCUAUGUGUUGGCUGGAUGUUUUCUUGAAGGACGUGUGUUGCAGGAGACUCUAGAGCAUAUAAAGGCUCAUCAGCCUGACAUGAACAGACCAUGCGGCUCUAUAGCGGGGGACUGAGAAUACGGAAACUUUGGUUUCACGCAGGUUGUCCACCCACCUCGUGCUCCGAAGAAAACUGCACACCCUUUGGCCUCGACCUUUCAGAGCACACCUGACACUCUGCUUGUGGAAAAGUAUCAACGCACUCAAUACCAGGCCAUCUGCAGUCCUAAAGUACUAUGGUAAAGCUCUAUUAGUCACAAACUAGCAGAUACAGUAAUACGUACAAUGAUUUCCAGACUCCAUUACAUUUACAGAAUUUGGCAGACCUUCUUACCCAGACCAGCUUAUUUCAUGCACGUAGAUCAGGGACUAAGAAUUCUAUAAAACUAAAACUGUCUUAGAGAGGAUAAAACACUGCAAGUUUUUUUUUUUUCCUUUUUUUGCAAUUAGUGCUCAUUUAAGUGCUUGGUGGAACACAUACCUCGUUCACCUCAGGACAGACUUAAUUAUGGUAAUUAAAUCAUGAUUAUUUAAUCGUUUAGCCAGUUUUUCUACAACUAGCACUUACUCCAGCCCUUGUGUCUAGUGCCGACUCUGUUCUUACCAUAACUAUCCUGCCAUUAUUAUUUUUUUCUCUAUUUGGUGGAAACUUGUACAUCACUUUGGAUAAAAAACAUUCUUCCAAAUGAAACUGUGCAGGGUAUUGGCUCCAUUGAGGUAAGGCCAAAAAGUAUUUCAUCAGAACACACAACCAUCGUCCAGCACAGUACACAGUACUAAAGGUGCCAUCUUCAUUGAGUUUUCAGAACAGUCUACAAAUUCAUGACAUCAUAAGCAUUUAUAACAUCAUAUCCCAGCCCAGUUAUAAACAUGACAUUGCUAGAGGCUUACCCUUAUACUUUAACAUAGCUUGCUGUGGAUUUCCUGGUAGCAUCUAUCUAGUGCUAGAUAGCUACACAAAUUACAUAGACACAGAUUACAUACACAGCACAAUAUACACAAACACAAUCAAUAGCAUCUUUCCAUGCGCUACAGUUUGAUCACAGAUUAUAGAAACUAUUUAAAACCUCGAGUUAUUUUUUUUAUACUUUACCCCCAGAUGUAGGAUGUAAAAUAUUUAUACAUAGCAUAUCAUGCAAUAAUCAAGCACAACUUUCUCUAUCUCCUAUCCACAGCAGAUGUAAAAAUGUGAAUGCUCUUUUCUCAGAUACAGUGGAUACAAGAAGUCGACUCACCCCCCAAAGAAAAAAAAAUGAUGCAAAGAUAAAUCCAUAGAAAUAUAUCCAAAUAAGAAUUAAUCCAUAGAAAUAGAUCUAAAACAAACAUAUCCACUGUAUAUUACAAAGAUUAAUUCAUGAAGCUUGUUUGGGACCACAGUGUCAUUAUUGAGAUUUUUAUUGAGAUUUGGCGCCCCAUACUCCAUGCAUGUCUGAAUAUGAGGAUAUUUGCAGAGAAGUGCACACAUCAAACACCAGAGCAUCUUUUCCGGAGAUUGCGAGUCUGAAUCUUGAUGAUGCCACAGCCAUCCAUGGACAGGAGUCCAAGAGAGCGAAAUUCGUCAUGCUCUCAGGGAGGGAGGAGUGGCAUUCUCUGUCUCCCCUAUCAAUCACAGCAACACUAGAUAUACACACACACCCAAUAUAUAUACACUUUUGGCACAAAAUUAAGUCAUAGAGAAGUGCAUGGAUCCCAGAUGGACAGAGAUGUUGUGGCUCUUACAUGACAUCUAGUGGACAUUGCUUUUAAUCCUCCAGAUUUACACAAGAUCCACAAGCGAGUAUGUGUAUGAGUACAACCCUGCUCACCUAACACCUCUACUCUCUACACUAGAUGACCUGGAGCCCUGACACAGGAGUCUGAUUUUCAUGAGUUUAAAAAAAAUUGUGAAAAAAUAAACAUAAGGUAUAUUGUUUAAUUUGUGAACGAUGUCAUUUAAUGCAGUUAGUUAAAUCUGCACUACAAGCUACAGAAUAAAACUAGCAUGUAAGUUACUUUGAGACUGAAUUCCUGAUUGAAGACGAGGUUGAAAUAGUGUCUGUUCCACCUUAAAUGAUGGCAGAUAUCAUGAGUCUUUUACUGUCACUCCUUUUUAGUACCGGUGAAGUAAAACAGCUUGGCCAGUCAUACCACUUCCACUUAUGUAUUUUUUAGCUGUUUUCAUUUUAGAACUGGAGGAAAAAUGCUUCUCAGGGGAUCAUGUUAUGUUGUAUACAACCAGUAAACAAAUGUUAGACCAGGGUUUAUGGGGUUACAACAUCCCAGGACAUCAAAAUCUCACCACAGUCUUAACCAGCUGGACUUAAAAAUAAGAUAAAUUGGAUGAUUUAUCCCCAGCCUGGCCCAAGUCUUCUUCACGCUUAACAGUGUCACAGUAUAUUGUAUAAAAAUGCCUAAUCUGCCUAUAUGAGUCAGUGUUAGGCCAUGGUUUAAAGGGUUAAAACAUACUGAACCACCAAAAUCUCACCACAAUCUGAAGGAAAAUGAUUUACUGGAAUUGGAUUGGUUGGUUCUAUAAUGGUUAUAGUGGUUGAUGCACUACAGAUCACUAUUUAGGGUGUUAAAAUGUCUCGGGUCACUAUGAUUUCACCACAAGCUGAAAGAUAAGGGCUCAGAAUGAUGAGCCCAAAGUCUUCUUCACCCUUAAGCCAUUAAACCUCCAGGACGUGCAUCCAGACUCAGUUUCCUUACUCUCAUAACUACAGUCCUUUCCUAUUAGUUUCACUGAAGUUAUUGAAUAAGAUGCUUUAAGGUGGGUUACUUAAUAAUACACUGGGACUUAGUGAAUAAUAAAGGGCUAAAAGUAAGAUGGAAUAUUGAAUAAGAGACUAUUGGGCCAUUAUCAUUAUGAUUAAAACACUAAAGGAGGUGUCUAAAGGCUGGGGGGAUGAGAUUAGCAGCUGCACAGCCACUGUGCUCUUUUUUUUGAAGGGAAGAAAGAGGGUGAAGGUUCCAGA